AGAGUUUGAUCCUGGCUCAGGAUGAACGCUAGCGGCAGGCUUAACACAUGCAAGUCGAGGGGCAGCGCGGUUGUAGCAAUACAACUGGCGGCGACCGGCGAAAGGGUGCGUAACGCGUGAGCGACAUGCCCGUCACCGGGGUAUAACCGAUGGAAACGUCGACUAAUCCCCCAUAACAUCAGAGGAGGCAUCUUCUUUGGUUGAAAUUCACGGAGGUGACGGAUUGGCUCGCGUCUGAUUAGCUAGUCGGCGGGGUAACGGCCCACCGAGGCUACGAUCAGUAGGGGUUCUGAGAGGAAGGUCCCCCACAAUGGAACUGAGACACGGUCCAUACUCCUACGGGAGGCAGCAGUGAGGAAUAUUGGUCAAUGGGCGGAAGCCUGAACCAGCCAUGCCGCGUGCAGGACGACGGCCCUAUGGGUUGUAAACUGCUUUUGCUGCGGAGCAAUAAGGGCCUCGUGCAGGUCCGAUGAGAGUACGCAGCGAACAAGCAUCGGCUAACUCCGUGCCAGCAGCCGCGGUAAUACGGAGGAUGCGAGCGUUAUCCGGAUUUAUUGGGUUUAAAGGGUGCGUAGGCUGUGCGUUAAGUCAGGGGUGAAAUGCCGUCGCUCAACGACGGAGCUGCCCUUGAUACUGGCGUGCUGGAGUACGGAUGCCGUUGGAGGAAUGAGUGGUGUAGCGGUGAAAUGCUUAGAUAUCACUCAGAACACCGAUUGCGAAGGCAUCUGACGAAUCCGUCACUGACGCUGAGGCACGAAAGCGUGGGGAUAGAACAGGAUUAGAUACCCUGGUAUUCCACGCCGUAAACGAUGAUGACUAACCGUCGGCGAUAGACAGCCGGUGGCCAAGCGAAAGCGAUAAGUCAUCCACCUGGGGAGUACGUCGGCAACGAUGAAACUCAAAGGAAUUGACGG
rnacentral:rRNA from 1 species